AUGAUAUAUAAAGUAUAAAUGAUACUCUUCCUUGCACAAACACUUUUUAAAAAUUUUAUUUAUAAAAUAUACUGCAAACUUGUGUGGAAUACGGAUGCUGAAGUACUGUAAGAAAACGAAACAUUUCAUGAUACCGAUGUCUGUAUCGGAAGAACGGUAAUAAAUGGUCAUCAAAGCAGUCUCUUGGACAUCCUUUUAUCUCUCCAAAUCCCAUGUCGUGCAGUUCGGUAUGAAUUUGGGGUAUUGAAAAUGUUUGGAAAAAGAAGGGUUUGCUUCAUUUGUCAAGGUGCGUAAUAAAUUGGACGGCUGUCUCUAUGCGAUCAAAAGAAGUCAUAUGAAUCCGAAAAGUUAACUGUUUAAUCGUAAAAUCACUCGAAAUGUGAAGUUACUUUCUAGAUUGAACCGUGAAAAUAAUGUAAAAAGAAAGUUAUUUUUCAAAAUGAAUUUAUGACAUAAGGGUAUAAUUUAAACGACACGAAUGGCUUGGCUUAUUAAAUGCUAACUUUGUAAAAUCUAUUAUAAAAAUUAGAUAAUCCAUUUUUCCAUGAAGCUCAUGGAUACUUUUGUUCA